rnacentral:rRNA from 1 species
GACAGAGGGUGCAAACGUUGUUCGGAAUUACUGGGCGUAAAGCGUGCGCAGGCGGCUUCUCAAGUCAGGGGUGAAAGCCCAGAGCUCAACUCUGGAAUUGCCUUUGAGACUGAGUGGCUUGAGUACGAGAGAGGUGAGUGGAAUUCCCAGUGUAGAGGUGAAAUUCGUAGAUAUUGGGAAGAACACCGGUGGCGAAGGCGGCUCACUGGCUCGUAACUGACGCUCAUGCACGACAGCGUGGGGAUCAAACAGG